GAAAGGAAUAAUCAUGGUUUUUGAAGACUGACAAUGCUCCCUCGAGUACUACACAGCAAAAAAACUCAGACGUUGCGAGUAAACAAAGUUCCAAAUACUUUGGCGCUGGCUGAACAACACCAUUUCCAGCAGAUCAAGACGGUGGUAUAUACAUCCGAAUUCGAACCAAAGAGUGCCUUAAAAGGAGGGAAUUAGAAGGGCAAGGAAAGAAUAA